rnacentral:tRNA from 2 species
GCGGGCAUAGUUUAAUGGUAGAACUUCAGCCUUCCAAGCUGAUCGUGCGGGUUCGAUCCCCGCUGCCCGCU